UGGGGAAUUUUGGACAAUGGGGGCAACCCUGAUCCAGCCAUGCCGCGUGUGUGAAGAAGGCCUUCGGGUUGUAAAGCACUUUCGGCCGGAACGAAAUCGCGCGGGCUAUUACCCCGCGUGGAUGACGGUACCGGAAGAAGAAGCACCGGCUAACUACGUGCCAGCAGCCGCGGUAAUACGUAGGGUGCGAGCGUUAAUCGGAAUUACUGGGCGUAAAGGGUGCGCAGGCGGUUCUGCAAGUCAGGCGUGAAAUCCCCGGGCUUAACCUGGGAAUGGCGCUUGAAACUACGGGACUGGAGUAUGGCAGAGGGAGGUGGAAUUCCACGUGUAGCGGUGAAAUGCGUAGAGAUGUGGAGGAACACCGAUGGCGAAGGCAGCCUCCUGGGCCAAUACUGACGCUCAUGCACGAAAGCGUGGGGAGCAAACAGGAUUAGAUACCCCCGUAGUCC
rnacentral:rRNA from 1 species